UACGUAGGGUGCGAGCGUUAAUCGGAAUUACUGGGCGUAAAGCGUGCGCAGGCGGUUCGUUGUGUCGGCGGUGAAAGCCCCGGGCUUAACCUGGGAAUGGCCGUCGAAACUGGCGAACUGGAGUGUGGCAGAGGGGGGUGGAAUUCCGCGUGUAGCAGUGAAAUGCGUAGAGAUGCGGAGGAACACCGAUGGCGAAGGCAGCCCCCUGGGCUGACACUGACGCUCAGGCACGAAAGCGUGGGGAGCAAACCGG
rnacentral:rRNA from 1 species